GUGGGGAAUCUUGCGCAAUGGGCGAAAGCCUGAUGCAGCCAUGCCGCGUGAACGAUGAAGGUCUUAGGAUUGUAAAAUUCUUUCACCGGGGACGAUAAUGACGGUACCCGGAGAAGAAGCCCCGGCUAACUUCGUGGCAGCAGCCGCGGUAAUACGAAGGGGGCUAGCGUUGUUCGGAAUUACUGGGCGUAAAGCGCACGUAGGCGGACAUAUAAGCCAGGGGUGAAAUCUCGGGGCUCAACCCCGGAACUGCCUUUGAUACUGUGUGUCUGGAGUAGGGGAGAGGUAAGUGGAAUUCCGAGUGUAGAGGUGAAAUUCGUAGAUAUUCGUAGGAACACCAGUGGCGAAGGCGGCUUACUGGUCCAUUACUGAAGCUGAGGUGCGAAAGCGUGGGGAGCAAACAGGAUUAGAUACCCCGGUAGUCC
rnacentral:rRNA from 1 species